GCGGCGAGCGAAGCGGGAAGAGCUCAAAUUUAUAAUCUGGCACCUUCGGUGUCCGAGUUGUAAUCUCUAGAAGUGUUUUCCGCGUUGGACCGCACACAAGUCUGUUGGAAUACAGCGGCAUAGUGGUGAAACCCCCGUAUAUGGUGCGGACGCCCAGCGCUUUGUGAUACACUUUCAAUGAGUCGAGUUGUUUGGGAAUGCAGCUCAAAUUGGGUGGUAAAUUCCAUCUAAAGCUAAAUAUUGGCGAGAGACCGAUAGCGAACAAGUACCGUGAGGGAAAGAUGAAAAGCACUUUGGAAAGAGAGUUAACAGUACGUGAAAUUGUUGGAAGGGAAACGCUUGAAGUCAKACUUGCUUGCCGGAGCUUGCUUCGGUUUGCAGGCCAGCAUCAGUUUUCCGGGGUGGAUAAUGACGGUUUGAAGGUAGCAGUCUCGGSUGKGUUAUAGCUUUCCGUUGGAUACAUCCUGGGGGACUGAGGAACGCAGCGUGCUUUUUGCGAAAGACUCGUCUUUU
rnacentral:rRNA from 1 species